rnacentral:rRNA from 1 species
UACAGAGGGUGCAAGCGUUGUUCGGAAUUAUUGGGCGUAAAGGGCGCGUAGGCGGUGCUGUAAGUCUGUGGUGAAAUCUCUGGGCUCAACUCAGAGUCUGCCAUAGAAACUGCAGUGCUGGAGUGUGGGAGAGGUGAGUGGAAUUCCCGGUGUAGCGGUGAAAUGCGCAGAUAUCAGGAGGAACACCGGUGGCGAAGGCGGAUCUCUGGGCCAUUACUGACGCUGAGGAGCGAAAGCGUGGGGAGCGAACAGG